UGAAGUCGGUCGCCUAAUCGUCACUAAGUCAUUUAUAUAGCUUUUGUAUAUUAAAACUAAUGGGAGGAGGAAAAAAAAGAAGAGGAGAAAGGAAAAGAAAAGAAGAGGAAAGAAAAGGAGAGGCUACUGUCUGAUUUAGUUUGGCAAAGAAAAGAGCGUAUAGUGUGAGGUGAAAUCGAAAGCUCAGAGUAAGAUAUCAGUAACGUUUUGGUUGACGUGGGUCAUAGGAACUCCACGUGUUUUUAGGUUCUAUUGCUGACGCGUUUUAGCAAGCUUCUCCUCCUCAUCAUUUUUGCAUGUAGAUAAAUGUAUAGUAUAUAGAGUGGUGAGAGGGUCCCACUACUGUUCAGAAUGUUUUGAAGUAUGUACCUGAUAAAUGUUGGUUUUUGAUAUUAUAUGUAAUAUGCGUGGUUUAUGUACUUGACGUGUGGGUUAUGAAUUUUGAUUUUUGAA